rnacentral:lncRNA from 1 species
CCAGUGCUAAUACAGAAUUCCCCUAUAAUCUUCUGAACAAUUGCCAUGUUCCCUUACUAUCUCUGGCUUGAGAGAUCAAAAUUACUGCUGCUUCUGUCACCACCACAUAGUCCUACACAUAGUGUUUCAUCAUAAUGGGCUCUGGGUCACCCUCAACCCCAUGUGGCAAAAGUCUCUUUCCAAACUACUAUGUUGUCUUAGGCUAGAAGAAUGUUUCAUUCUGAAUUGUUUGUUAGUUCUGUCAUUCCAGAAUUCAAGUUGAGGUGCUAUUUUAAAAAUAUUUGGAAGGCAAUGUAGAGAAAGCUCAGUUAAGCAAUUUCUCUUCUUUGCCACCUUGGCUCUGCCCCCAGAAUACCUGCUCUCUUUACAAAAAAAAAUGGAUGUUUCAAGAAAGCAGACUCAUCAAUACUGGAAAUCUAUAACUGAAGUGGGUCUGUUUCAGAUAUUUACUGGAACUGAUAUAAAAGAACUGGAUUUUUCUGUGGCCUUUCACAUUGUCAUGAUGUACAGAAGUCUGAUUUCCAUUUCUUGCCAGAGGAAGCAAAGCCUUGCCAAAAGCCAGAACCUUUAUCCAAGAGAACAGAACAGUUGAUCUUAACACCUUUGAACAGAUGGAAGAAGCACCAAAUGGGAGAAGCAGGAAUAGAAAAGAAAAAUAUACCUCUUAUGUGCUAACCUUGGCCCAGAAAGGACAAUAAUGUAUAAAGUGGAAGUGUCAAGAGAAAAAUUAUCAUCUUUUCAAAAGUCAAUGUACCUUUAAUUUAAAAAGUACAACUGAGUGCCAUUUUCUAGACAGAUGAUUCCCAACUUCGUAUCUCUUGCUGUUCUUUGGAUAGCUUCUGUUAUUUCUUUUCCAUCUGUUAUUUUCAUUCAUUUCAGCUAGAUUUUCCAAAUUGGAGGAUCUUAUUUUGGGAACGGAGGAUUCUAGAAAUGUAACCCCAUUUACAGAGAAUAAAGUUUUACAUUAGUAAAGAAAAAAUG